GAUGAACGCUGGCGGCGUGCCUAAUACAUGCAAGUAGAACGCUGAAGGAAGGAGCUUGCUCUUUCCGGAUGAGUUGCGAACGGGUGAGUAACGCGUAGGUAACCUGCCUGGUAGCGGGGGAUAACUAUUGGAAACGAUAGCUAAUACCGCAUAACAGUAGAUGUUGCAUGACAUCUGCUUGAAAGGUGCAAUUGCAUCACUACCAGAUGGACCUGCGUUGUAUUAGCUAGUUGGUGAGGUAACGGCUCACCAAGGCGACGAUACAUAGCCGACCUGAGAGGGUGAUCGGCCACACUGGGACUGAGACACGGCCCAGACUCCUACGGGAGGCAGCAGUAGGGAAUCUUCGGCAAUGGACGGAAGUCUGACCGAGCAACGCCGCGUGAGUGAAGAAGGUUUUCGGAUCGUAAAGCUCUGUUGUAAGAGAAGAACGAGUGUGAGAGUGGAAAGUUCACACUGUGACGGUAUCUUACCAGAAAGGGACGGCUAACUACGUGCCAGCAGCCGCGGUAAUACGUAGGUCCCGAGCGUUAUCCGGAUUUAUUGGGCGUAAAGCGAGCGCAGGCGGUUAGAUAAGUCUGAAGUUAAAGGCUGUGGCUUAACCAUAGUACGCUUUGGAAACUGUUUAACUUGAGUGCAAGAGGGGAGAGUGGAAUUCCAUGUGUAGCGGUGAAAUGCGUAGAUAUAUGGAGGAACACCGGUGGCGAAAGCGGCUCUCUGGCUUGUAACUGACGCUGAGGCUCGAAAGCGUGGGGAGCAAACAGG
rnacentral:rRNA from 1 species